rnacentral:snoRNA from 1 species
CCGCAGCCAAUCAAGCCGACCAUGCUGCCCUCCCCAUGGCGCUCGGUGUGCACUGCUCCUGGUAAUGCCUGCGGCUGCGGCUAGUGUAGCUGCCUUGAGGGGCCCUGGAGACGCCC